CCUACGGGAGGCAGCAGUGGGGAAUAUUGGACAAUGGGCGCAAGCCUGAUCCAGCCAUGCCGCGUGUGUGAAGAAGGCCCUAGGGUUGUAAAGCACUUUAAGCAGGAAAGAAAAGCGCCGAGUUAAUAACUCGAGCGUAUUGACGGUACCUGCAGAAUAAGCACCGGCUAACUUCGUGCCAGCAGCCGCGGUAAUACGAAGGGUGCAAGCGUUAAUCGGAAUUACUGGGCGUAAAGCGAGUGUAGGCGGUUUCGUGUGUCGGAUGUGAAAGCCCCGGGCUCAACCUGGGAAUUGCAUUCGAAACUGCGGAACUAGAAUAUGGUAGAGGAAGACGGAAUUCCACGUGUAGCGGUGAAAUGCGUAGAUAUGUGGAGGAACACCAAUGGCGAAGGCAGUCUUCUGGGCCAAUAUUGACGCUGAGGCUCGAAAGCGUGGGUAGCAAACAGGAUUAGAUACCCUGGUAGUCCACGCCGUAAACGAUGAGAACUAGACGUUGGUUGACAUAGUCGAUCAGUGUCGCAGCUAACGCGUUAAGUUCUCCGCCUGGGGAGUACGGUCGCAAGACUAAAACUCAAAGGAAUUGACGGGGGCCCGCACAAGCGGUGGAGCAUGUGGUUUAAUUCGAUGCAACGCGAAGAACCUUAC
rnacentral:rRNA from 1 species